AUGGCGGAACAGAGUGUUCGGCGCUGGCUGCAGACACAUCAUGAGAAGCGCCUUGAGAAAGUUUUUCCCUCUUCGGGUGCCUGUUGGGGGCAAGCGCGGCCGCCCCGGGUGCCUGCAGGGAUCACUCACCGGUUCCCAACCCGGGGGCGUCUCCCCGGGCCGCUCGGCGCACGAUGCUGCUCUGGCUGCGCGUUGCUUUCCUGGCGGCGCUUCCCCAAGGUGACCGUGGCCCGGGAGGGCGCGGGGAGCCCGGGCUCUCGGGGUUCACUGCUAAGGCCGCUCUCUGCUGUGUCCGCAGGUGCCCGAGCGCAGGUCCGGCUGGUGGAGUCCGGGGGCGGCGUGAAAAGGGCCGGAGACUCUCUGCGCCUCUCCUGCAAAGGCUCCGGCUUCACCUUUAGCAACUUCACCAUGAGAUGGUUCCGCCAGGCCCCCGGGCAGGGGCCCGAGUGGGUGGCUACGGUCAGCCAGCCCAGCGGAUCCAAGCAGUGGUAUUCCGAGGCUGCCAAAGGGCGAUUCACCAUCUCCAGGGACAAUCCCCGUAACACGACGCAUUUACAAAUGAGCGGCUUGAAACGCGAGGACAGCGCCGUGUAUUACUGCGCCAGGCGCACCCACAGCGAGGGGAAGCGACUCUGCGCUCGUACAGAAACCUCCCCCUGAAGAUCCCGGGCCGGGGUUCCCCGGGGACGGCGCUCGCGCCCCGCACGUUGAGAAAUCAAGCAGAGUGGUCCCCGCCUCCCGCGCCAGGCCGGGGUUGGAGGAGAGAGACAGGCGCUGCUGAAUCCGAGCUCCCUGGGGAGCGCAGAGGGUGCGUCCCGGCGCAGGGAGAACGAACAGCUGCA